rnacentral:tRNA from 1 species
UGGCCCGUUAGCUCAACUGGUAGAGCAGCGGACUCUUAAUCCGCAGGCUGAAGGUUCGAGUCCUUCACGGGUCAU